UUUUUAACCAGGUUUUCCGAAGGAAAAAACUGGUUAUUAGAUUGGCGAAUGCGGGCGGGCUGGCUGGCUGGCUGGCGGGCUGGCGGAAUAAGCUUGUCCGGGCCAUAACUAUGUCAUUCAUUGUCAGAUUUUAAAAUCAUUUGGCACAUUUGUUCACCAUCAUUGGACGGUGUGUCGCGCGAAAUAAUUACGUCGAUAUCUCCAAGGUCAAGGUCACACUUUGAGUUCAAAGGUCAAAAAUGGCCAUAAAUGAGCUUGUCCUGGCCAUAACUAUGUCAUUCAUUGUGAGAUUUUAAAAUCAUUUGGCACAUUUGUUCACCAUCAUGGGACGGUGUGUCCCACGAAAGAAUCACGUCAAUAUCUCCAAUGUCAAGGUCGCCACGACUAAAAAUAGAUUUAAAAAAAAAAAAAAAUUACAAAGGGGGUUAAUUUUUUUUGGUCAUUUCAAAAGUU